GCGCUCGCUUCGCCAGCACAUAUACUAAAAUUGGAAUGAUAUGAGGAAGAUUAGCAUGGCCCCUGUGCAAGGUGACAUGCAAAUUCGUGAAGCGUUCCAUAUUUUU